GAUGAACGCUGGCGGCGUGCCUAAUACAUGCAAGUCGAGCGAACAGACGAGGAGCUUGCUCCUCUGACGUUAGCGGCGGACGGGUGAGUAACACGUGGAUAACCUACCUAUAAGACUGGGAUAACUUCGGGAAACCGGAGCUAAUACCGGAUAAUAUAUUGAACCGCAUGGUUCAAUAGUGAAAGACGGUUUUGCUGUCACUUAUAGAUGGAUCCGCGCCGCAUUAGCUAGUUGGUAAGGUAACGGCUUACCAAGGCAACGAUGCGUAGCCGACCUGAGAGGGUGAUCGGCCGCACUGGAACUAAGACACGGUCCAGACUCCUACGGGAGGCAGCAGUAGGGAAUCUUCCGCAAUGGGCGAAAGCUUGACGGAGCAACGCCGCGUGAGUGAUGAAGGUCUUCGGAUCGUAAAACUCUGUUAUUAGGGAAGAACAAAUGUGUAAGUAACUAUGCACGUCUUGACGGUACCUAAUCAGAAAGCCACGGCUAACUACGUG
rnacentral:rRNA from 1 species